GUCGCGAUUUGCUUGAUUAGAUUAGGGAAGGUCUUCGUAUAUUUCUUUCACUUUUGGGUUAUCCUUAGUGUAUUUUCAACACUUUAUAACUGUUCUUAAAUACACAUUUUACAUUAUAAUGUGUCAAUAAUGACGCUAAUUUAUCACAAACAUAUUGUGAAAGAACUUAAUAAGAAACUGUACAUAACCCUUUGACAAUGAGAUGCCCCAUUUCUGAAACCAAAUAUAUCCUUUUUAUCGAGAAAAAGACUGUACAGGAACACGAUUAAAUAAGUAUUAGCAUUGAGUGGUUUAGUGUCUUGACCAAUAUGGGACUAUUAUUUGCAAAAUUGUGGAGUCUUUUUGGCAAUGAAGAACAUAAAAUAGUUAUGGUAGGAUUAGAUAAUGCUGGUAAAACAACUAUAUUAUACCAGUUCCUAAUGAAUGAAGUUGUUCAUACAUCACCAACAAUUGGAUCUAAUGUUGAAGAAGUUGUUUGGAAAAAUAUUCAUUUCAUAAUGUGGGAUUUGGGUGGACAGCAAAGCCUGAGAGCUGCAUGGUCCACAUACUAUACUAACACCGAAUUUAUCAUUAUGGUUAUAGAUAGUACAGAUAGAGAAAGACUUGGUGUAAUAAGAGAAGAGCUAUACUCAAUGCUAAAUCAUGAAGAAUUAAGUAAAGCCAAUGUCUUAGUUUAUGCUAAUAAGCAAGAUUUAAAAGAUAGCAUGACAGCUGCUGAAAUUUCUAGACAAUUAGAUUUAACUUCUAUUAAGAAACAUCAGUGGCACAUACAAAGCUGUUGUGCUCUUACAGGAGAGGGGCUUUAUCAAGGUCUUGAAUGGAUUGUUGGACGCUUAAAAAAGACAUGACGUACAUUAUGAGGAUGGAUUUUGAAUGUAAUAAGAUAUCUAAACUGUAAAGUAUAUGUUCAGUACAAUGUAUCAAGUGGUGGACGGGUAAAUUUUAUCUUAUCUAUUAAUGUGAUAUAAAAUAUAGUGGCAAA
rnacentral:misc_RNA from 1 species